CCUACGGGUGGCAGCAGUGAGGAAUAUUGGUCAAUGGCCGUAAGGCUGAACCAGCCAAGUAGCGUGAGGGAAGACUGCUCUAUGGGUUGUAAACUUCUUUUAUAAAGGAAUAAAGUGAUGCACGUGUGCAUUUUUGCAUGUACUUUAUGAAUAAGGAUCGGCUAACUCCGUGCCAGCAGCCGCGGUAAUACGGAGGAUCCGAGCGUUAUCCGGAUUUAUUGGGUUUAAAGGGAGCGUAGAUGGGUUGUUAAGUCAGUUGUGAAAGUUUGCGGCUCAACCGUAAAAUUGCAAUUGAUACUGGCAGUCUUGAGUACAGUUGAGGUAGGCGGAAUGCGUGGUGUAGCGGUGAAAUGCUUAGAUAUCACGAAGAACUCCGAUUGCGAAGGCAGCUUACUAAGCUGCCACUGACAUCGAUGCUCGAAAGUGUGGGUAUCAAACAGGAUUAGAUACCCUUGUAGUC
rnacentral:rRNA from 1 species